ensembl:lncRNA
AGGAAAUGAGAUUUCGCCCUGCGUGUCACCUAGUGAGUUAACCUGUCAUAGCCUCUCAGAUGCUGAAGGAAACAAGAGGCUCCAGAUUCAGACAUAAGGGAUAGUUUAGGACUCACAGCAGCAGCCAGAGUGGCUGCAUUUUUCAUGUGCUCCCAGGCUUAUGUUCUCACAGACCCUCACAAAGAGGACUAGAAAUGACCAGGGUGCACAUCGGGGUGUGUCCAGGAGAGGCAUCUGCGGUUUGGUUUCCAACAGGUUGAGUGUGUCUGCCUUCCGUUCCAGAGGGACAUUAUGUCUACCUCCCAAGCCCAUCUGUGACAGACUUGAAAAUAUAAUCCAGAACAAAGAGACUCCACACGUCACUCACAAGCCACGCUGAUAUGAGGCAGCUCUGUCUUAGUCUGUUCGAGUUGCCAAAACCAAGUGCCAUAGACUGGGGGCCUCAACAGCAGAUCAAGGUGCCAAGCGAUGAACUCAGCAAGGGCUUCCUUCCUGGCUUGCCUAUGGCCACCUUCUCACAUGGAGGAGAAGACAAGGGAGAGACAGACAGACAGACCUCUUAUAAACCACCAGUACUCUCAGAUUAGGGCCUCACCCUUAUGAUGUCACCUCCUGACGGCCGUACUUCUAAACCCCCAAACUCUGGCACAUUGAGGGUGAGCGCUGCAAGAGAUGAAUUCCGAGGGACACAGCCUAAUCCACAGCUGGUCCCAUGGGGACUUGGGAUCCACCAGGGACCACCCAAGGUGACCAAGAGCGCCUCUCACAGGCUCGCUGCCAUGGCCAAGGGUCUCACCGUGUUGCCCAGGCUGGCCUCCUGCCUCGUUCUCCUGAGUAGCUGGGAUUCCAGGCACACUACCAAGCAGCCUUCUUCCCCAGGCACAUACAGCGCACCCCCAGAUCCUGUCCGUUUUACCUUCUUAGUCCAUUGCUGCCAGGACGCUCAUCAAGGUCUCUUCUCUGGCCUGGACGCCCAGCGGAUGAGGGGACCUUCAGCUAUGUAACCAAGUCAUUUCCCCUCCUGUUGAGACCUUUCCAUGGCUUCCCAUUCCCCUCCAGAUAGUCUGGACUUGGCCCCAGCCCUUGGGACCUUCUAGUCCCUGUGACCCCAUUCCCAGCCUCACAGCUCGCCAGGGCCCUCCCCAGGUCACUCUCCGUGUUGACUUGCUUGGUGUCCCCAGGGCCUUUGCACCUGCGACUGCAGAAAAGUCUUCCCCUGGCGUUUCAUGUGUGGGGUCUUUCCAAGCUAGAGCUUCCCAGACUAACUGGGGUGGAACCAGGGUUUUUCCUUCCCUUCCAAUCCAUUCUGGACCCUGCUUUUGAAAAAUACAAUAAAAA